rnacentral:rRNA from 1 species
UACGUAGGGUCCGAGCGUUGUCCGGAAUUAUUGGGCGUAAAGGGCUCGUAGGCGGUUUGUCGCGUCGGGAGUGAAAACACGGGGCUUAACCCCGUGCCUGCUUCCGAUACGGGCAGACUAGAGGUAUGCAGGGGAGAACGGAAUUCCUGGUGUAGCGGUGAAAUGCGCAGAUAUCAGGAGGAACACCGGUGGCGAAGGCGGCCCCCUGGGCCGUACCUGACGCUGAGGCGCGAAGGCUAGGGGAGCGAACGGG